rnacentral:rRNA from 1 species
GCAUACGGUGGAUGCCUUGGCAGUCAGAGGCGAUGAAAGACGUGGAAGCCUGCGAUAAGGUUCGGGGAGCUGGCAAACAAGCUGUGAUCCGGGCAUUUCUGAAUGGGGAAACCCACCGACUUUCGGGUCGGUAUCUUGCACUGAAUACAUAGGUGUAAGAGGCGAACCGGGGGAACUGAAACAUCUAAGUACCCCGAGGAAAAGAAAUCAACCGAGAUUCCCUAAGUAGCGGCGAG